rnacentral:rRNA from 1 species
GGAAUAUUGCGCAAUGGAGGAAACUCUGACGCAGUGACGCCGCGUAUAGGAAGAAGGUUUUCGGAUUGUAAACUAUUGUCGUGAGGGAAGAAAUUGACAGUACCUCAGGAGGAAGCUCCGGCUAACUAUGUGCCAGCAGCCGCGGUAAUACAUAGGGAGCAAGCGUUAUCCGGAAUUAUUGGGUGUAAAGGGUGCGUAGACGGGACAGCAAGUUAGUUGUGAAAGCCCUCGGCUUAACUGAGGAACUGCAACUAAAACUAUUGUUCUUGAGUGCAGGAGAGGAAAGCGGAAUUCCUAGUGUAGCGGUGAAAUGCGUAGAUAUUAGGAGGAACACCAGUGGCGAAGGCGGCCUGCUGGACUGUAACUGACGUUGAGGCUCGAAGGCGUGGGGAGCAAACAGG